rnacentral:rRNA from 1 species
UACGUAGGGACCAAGCGUUGUUCGGAUUUACUGGGCGUAAAGGGCGCGUAGGCGGCAAUUCAAGUCAGCUGUGAAAUCUCUGGGCUUAACCCAGAACGGCCAGCUGAUACUGCUUUGCUAGAGUGCAGAAGGGGCAAUCGGAAUUCUGGUGUAGCGGUGAAAUGCGUAGAUAUCAAGAGGAACACCUGAGGUGAAGACGGGUUGCUGGGCUGACACUGACGCUGAGGCGCGAAAGCCAGGGGAGCAAACGGG